AUUUAAAUAAUUUAAAAAAAAUAUUGAUUUGUGGAGUCAAAAAUAUGAAAGAAGUUAAUCAUUUUAAAUU
rnacentral:tRNA from 1 species